UUAUAGAAGUUCAAAACUCAGACGAAAGAGCACAGUCGUAAGGCAAUCCGCUCUUUUAGCAGAAAUUCGUACCAGCGUCCCAAACUACAUAACGUUACGUUACUCCUACAACAGAGCGUAAAACAAGCCAUUCGUCAGUGUAUCAGAAUUAUUUGAAAGUGUUAAAAAAACAACAACAACAACACAUACAUAGGCUAUAAUUGUUUUAUAUAGCCAUGCAUGUUGUAUUAAAGCCAUUACAGGAAUAAUGGAAUAGCCUAUAAAUGGAUUUCUUUGUAAAGAAAAGAUUACAACAGCGGAACCUCUGCAAUUUAAUAGAAACAUCUCAAGGUUGGUACUAAUAUGGUCCAUUACCUCAACAAUGAGACAAGCCAGGAUCCACAUGUCUUGGUGCUUGGAGACAAAGAAAAUUCCUCCCAAGUUUUCAUCAUUUUCAUUGGAGAGGCAGUUGAAAAGGAGACCUUACUUCAAGCAGUGAAUGAAUGCUUCAAAAUGUUCUACAUCUAUGAUGUAAACUACCCAAAGCCCUCUGCUCCAGUUUGGGAGU